CGAGGGACGAGCUGCGCGGUGAUUGGCUGCAGAGCUGCCUCAGGUGAGCUGCCAUUGGCAGAGGCGCGCUCAGGUGCCUUACUCCUGCCUUUCUUCAUGCCCGGUGUACAAGUCUCUGCUGUUUCUCCAGCUGGAGGUAAUCACCCGGCUGCAAGAAAUGGGACAGGAGACCUGAAGAUCUAACAACUCCAAAUGCCCACAUUCCCUCAGGCCCCAGUCUUUCCCCUCGUCCUCACUUCUGGGAUCCUGGGACCUCUCAUCAGCAUCUUCCUCUGAUGAUCUCUGGACCCAGGGCACUCUGAAUCGCAGUAGCAUAAUCUGGGCUUUUUCUGUACUGACCUCUAGGAUGACACGAGAAUGUAGCUUUUGCUGUUCUCUUAAGCCAGUUUCUACUGUUCCAUCCACCCAUCUUCCAGAAUUGUACUGAAAUAUAUCUUUUGCAGAUGA